ACGUGUGCUGAAGGAUCCUGUUGCAGCAUCGUUCUUGCUGGCGAGUCGGGCGAAACCUGGGAAAAGAAACAUCUUCAGGCUCGAGCGAAGACCCCCUGCUACAGGGAAGAUUCAGAACUGCAUCAUGGGGAAGGAGCAGUUAAUAAAGUGUUCCCGUAAAACAGACUGCUGAGAAUGAUCCGGCGUGGAUUCAGAACUCUUCAGCUGGGGAACGGUGGUACCGGCAUGCCAAUGCGGGGAGACCAACUGAGCCACACUGCUGCUUCACAGAGUGCAUUGAAGUUUGGUGUCAGCCUUCACUUCGCAUAGCUGGACAAACAGCUGCAAUAGUUUGGAAGCAUUUAGGAAUACACGUUUCUUCAGCAUCUCCUGUCAUGUGAUCAAAUAGCCAGAGAAAAGAGAGCCAAGCUUGGGUGCCUCUCUUUACAUAACGACACACAGCCAUAAUACAUGUUCACCUCCUCUCUCUGUCAGGACACUGCUCAGCCUCCUUGGGGAUUUGAAAUGUUUCUAAAUACUUAAAAUCAAAUAAAAGAAAGCUAACA
rnacentral:lncRNA from 1 species